rnacentral:lncRNA from 1 species
CUCUGAAAGUUCUGUGAUGUAUCAUUGCCAUGGUAAUGCAGUAAUGUGCAUUCUGUAUUCUGUACCAAGUGCCAAUUUGUGAGCUGAGAGGUUCAGAUACGGUGGCAACUGAGAAGGAUUCACCUACAACCUUGAGAAUUUGAAAAUGGGCAAUCUGAACUGCUGCUCUGGAGGAUACUUGGCCCAAAAGGCCAGAAGAAACGUCCAUCAGGGGUCAAGACCAUCAAACUCCAGCUGGGUGAAGAGGGUUCGUAGUUGGUCACAAAAUAAGAUGCACCCCAUAACUGACCCAGUUGAAGUUUCCCAGGAGGACCUGGUGGAGGAGCCCCCCCAAGGCCGGAAUGAGGAACAGAAACUGAGUACCCUGAAGGUAUGGUCACCUCUCUUUAUCUGGGAUAAGACCUUUGCUUCACUUCUUUCUUUUUUAUUCAGUCGAAUACAAUUAGAGUCAUCUAACAAUGUACAGUAUCACUGAUAUGUGAAAUUUACUUGGUUGGGGGAAUAAUGAGGGUAAAUCUAUUAUCAACACAUACCUGAUUCAUAAGGACAUUUUAAAAAGACAGCAUCUGUUGCUACUGUAUAAUAGUAGGUACUUUCCUCAGCAGAAGUUUUUCCUCCUUGAAAAAGAAUUUUGUAAUUGUUGGUCAAAGUGAAACUGAGAGAUCUUACGUGAAAUAGGCCAGCCUUUUCAACAACGGGUCCUCUCUGUCUUCUUUUGGAGCCAUUGACUUAAGGAGUUUUAGUUUUUGGAGGACGAAAAUCAGAGAACAGAAGACAAUGCAGAGAACAAAAGACGCUGACACCCUCACAUUGUUUGCUUCUCUCUCUAAUCAUAGGUGCAUGGAACGGCCAAAGAGAUUGCUUCACAUACAAAUAUCUACAUCCCUCUGCUCAGAUAUGUUCAAAAUGAUGAAGGUGGGGCUCUUUGCUGCCUCUAGUUAGAGAGCAGCUCUGAAUUUGGGUUUCCACAGCUGGUGAGGUCUGGGGGUACAUUCUGAAUGUGAUUCAGUCUUUAAUAAUGAAGCCAAUCAUGUCACUUGAAAUAAUUAGUGAAGCGGGUGGAUAUUGGUAAGACUGAAAUUAGCCAGUCACAGGAA